ensembl:lncRNA
AAGCCAGAGGAAGCGGUGAAGCGAGAGGUCCACGCCUGUCAAAAUCUGUCCACGUGGGAAUACCACGAUAAGCUGCCUUUGGUUCAACGACUCUCAUUGUUAGGGUGGAGACAAGACCAUCUCGUCAUUAUAUACAGUAUCUCUGGUAAAGUUUAGUUUUUUCCCCCCUGUGACUUGACUCGUUGAAUUUGUAAAUUCAUUUGGAUAGUUUUUAUUUUAGACACAGCAAAGAAAGAAAACACAUUUCAAGUAUUUUGUUUUUGGAGAUAUAAAGGACAGAUCACAGUUAUGAGGCUGUACGCGUUGAACUUUACAAGAAUGUAUUUAUCGUGUGUGUGUUCAUGAUUUGUGUGUGUCUAUCUGUGUCUGUGUCUCAUCUCGGGGAUGGAGAGCGAGAGUCCUUGAAUAGCUUGCUGAUAUCAAUGUCAGAGUCUUUCAUGUGAGGAUGGAUGUCCAUAUCGAUGCCACUGUCCUUACACUGCUGGAGCAGAGUUCUGAUGUUACUCUCAGACAGACGCAGGGGACCUGAGCCCUAGGACCAUGCCUCAGGACUACCUGGCCUGAUGACUCCUUGCUGUCCCCAGUCCACCUGGCUGUGCUGCUGCUCCAGUUUAAACUGUUCUGCCUGUGGCUAGGGAACCCUGACCAGUUCACCAGACGUGCUACCUGUCCCGGACCUGCUGUUUUCUACUCUCUCUCUCCCUCUACCGCACCUUCUGUCUCGACCUCUGAAUGCUCGGCUAUGAAAAGCCAACUGACAUUUACUCCUGAGGUACUGACCUGUUGCACCCUCUACAACCACUGUGAUCAUCUUGAAGAACAAUCUGGCCUUGUACAUGGCCAUGUACUCUUAUAAUCUCCACCUGGCACAGCCAGAAGAGGACUGGCCACCCCUCAGAGCCUGGUUCCUCUCUAGGUUUCUUCCUACGUUCUUGCCUUUCUAGGGAGUUUUUCCAAGCCACCAUGCUUUUACAUCUGCAUUGCUUGCUGUUUGGGGUUUAAGGCUGGGUUUCUGUACAGCACUUUGUGACAUUGGCUGAUUUAAAAAGGGCUUUAUAAAUACAUUUGAUUGAUUGAUUGUAGCAUCAAACCUAAGAUUUGAGUCUGUAAUCACUGCCAAAGGUGCUUCAACAAAGUACUGAGUAAAGGGUCUGAAUACUUAAGAAAAUGUGACAUUUCAGUUUUUUGGGAGGAUAUUUCAGAAUUUUUAGAAUAAGGCUGUAACGUAACAAAAUGUGGAAAAAGUCAAGAGGUCUGAAUACUUUCUGAAGGCACUGUAUAUCUGCUGAUGGUGUUGAAUCAGGUUUCCUGGAUAUUACGAAAGGUGUCCCGCAAUUGGUCGUACUUUUUGCUGUUAACAAUAACAACAUCAACUUGUCUGUCAAAAAAAUGUAACCUGCGCUUGUAUGCCGAUGAUACUGUUGUGUAUGCUAUUGCCCCCACGGUUGACCAGGCUCUGAACUACAGUCUGCCUUCAUUGUAUUACAGGAAAGCUUUAUUGACAUGAAAUUAGUACUGAAUGCAGGUAAAACUAAGUAUAUGUUGUAAUAAAGCGCAUGAAAAUAAGACUGAUUUAAGCAUAUGUAUUGGUGGUGGCCAUAUUGAUCGUGUCCGUGCUUUUAAAUAUCCGAGCAUCUGGAUAGAUGCAAAUCUGUCCUUUGAAAAGCAUAUUGAUGAGUUAAGAAGCUGAGAAUACAAAUGGGCUUCUUCUAUAGAAAUAGGUCCUGCCUCUCGCUAAAUAGUAGAAUGCAGAUUAUUCAGUCGACGUUCCUUUCGUUCCUGGACUAUGGCGACAUCAUCUAAAUGAACGGACCUGCCACUUCAUUAAAGUCGUUAGAUGCAGUUUCUCAUAGCGCACUGAGCUUUAUUACAGGUGGCAAUGUCAGUACUCAUCACAGCAUUCUCUACCAGGAAGUCGGUUGGCCUUCUUUGAUGUCACGUAGGUUGAUACAUUGCUAUAUUUUCAUUUAUGAAGCCCUUUUACAAAAAGUCCCACUGUACCUAAUAUCAUUACUAAACUUUAGACAUAUGACCACACCCAGUCUCAGGUAUAGUUAACUCUGGAAGUUCCUUUGGUUUUUACUGAGUUAGAUAUAUCAGCUUUAAGUUUUCUUGCACCUUAUUUGUGGAACAAUCGUUGAAAUGUUCUUAAAUGUGAGGUUCUCAUGCAUCUAUGGAAAUUCAGAAAGCUGAUUGAGAACUGUAUUAAUGAUGAAUGUGUUUGUUUUUAUGACUGUGUUUUUCUUUCUGCUUGCAGUUUGUAUUUAUAUUUUGAAGUGUGUAUUUUCUGGAAUUCUGUAAAGGAGACCUUGGUAUCAGUAUGACUCCCUGAUCAAAUAAAGGCAACAACAUUUUUUGGGGACUUAACAUCAAAUUUCCAUAAUUUCUAUCCCAUGUGAUCAAAGGUGUGAUCAUUGAAGAUACAGUGCAUUUGGAAAGUAUUCAGACCCCUUCAAUUCUUCCACAUUUUGUUACGUUACAACCGUAUUCUAAAAUGGAUUAAAUUGUUU